rnacentral:rRNA from 1 species
AAACCAACAGGGAUUGCCUCAGUAGCGGCGAGUGAAGCGGCAAAAGCUCAAAUUUGAAAUCUGGCGUCUUUGGCGUCCGAGUUGUAAUUUGAAGAAGGUAUCUUUGGGCCCGGCUCUUGUCUAUGUUCCUUGGAACAGGACGUCACAGAGGGUGAGAAUCCCGUGCGAUGAGAUGACCCGGGUCUGUGUAAAGUUCCUUCGACGAGUCGAGUUGUUUGGGAAUGCAGCUCUAAGUGGGUGGUAAAUUCCAUCUAAAGCUAAAUAUUGGCGAGAGACCGAUAGCGAACAAGUACAGUGAUGGAAAGAUGAAAAGAACUUUGAAAAGAGAGUGAAAAAGUACGUGAAAUUGUUGAAAGGGAAGGGCUUGAGAUCAGACUUGGUAUUUUGCAUGUUGCUCUCUCGGGGGCGGCCGCUGCGGUUUACCGGGCCAGCAUCGGUUUGGAGCGGCAGGAUAAUGGCGGAGGAAUGUGGCACGGCUUCUGCUGUGUGUUAUAGCCUCUGACGAUACUGCCAGCCUAGACCGAGGACUGCGGUUUUUACCUAGGAUGUUGGCAUAAUGAUCUUAAGUCGC